rnacentral:lncRNA from 1 species
UAUGUUCAAAUUUAGUUCAAAAUUCAAUUCUUUCGUGUACCUACAUAGUCCUGGAAUCCACUGAAUAUAUGAACCUUAAUCUUAUAUAUUUUAGUUCAUUUUUGAAAUAACUAUUUCCAAUAAAAUGUUACUUAUGAACCACAUAAGACAUUGGGUUAAGAGUGAGCAAAGUUUAAUUGAAAUACAUUCACAUAUUUUUAAAUAAUUAUUUGGUCCUGAUAAUUCGAUUAUAUGUAAAGUAUAAUUUCAGUUAUCUCAAUAUAACCGGUUAAAAGCCUGGAUAAUUGUUAAAUGUAAUUAAUCUUCAUAAAUACGUAGAACGUUUAAAAAAUGAAGUCCCACAAAUAGAAAAUGCUAUCAUACCUAUAUAUUCCUGUGGAAAUCAAUUAUUUAUUUGACAUAAUAAACUAUGGAUUACAUUUGAUAUUUAGUUUUCAUGCAUGUACAUACGUAUAAUAUAUACUUCAUUUAUCGGAUUAUCACCCUUGUUACAUAUAAAAAAUAGUAAUGGAAUCCAUUCCUCUAACGCUGAAAGAUAUUCUUAAAUCUCGUGUUGCAAGUUUGAAAUUGAUUUUGAUUCGUGAUUUUUUUGUAAUCGUGAAUCGGAUCAUCCCUAGUCUGACCAUAUAAAUAUUUUUAAAAACAUAUGUUAAGAACACUGUUUGACUUGGAAUAUGAACUAGAUACCAAUUAUAAUCAAUUGCAGUAUUGUUAUAGUAAUGCAUGCAUCCCACUGCCACCCCUCAGCUACGUCCCUGUAUUGUAUGAUUUUUAUUUCUUUUUGAGUAUUUUUCAUUCUUAUGCACAAUUUUAGAAUCAUGGCUACUGUUUUUGCUCGCUAAGGAAAGUGACUUUGUAAUGACUAAUUAGCAUCAUCCUUGUUAAAAAAAGGAGGGUGUAUUCUUCGUAAAGUUGACCCUUGGAAUCGCUUUAUUCUGCUUCAUAUUAUUAUGUAUGUGCUUAUUUCCAAUAAACAAGAUUUGUUCGUCUAGAUACAGCGAUAAUAAGUCCAAUUGUUUCAAAAACGGAUGUUUGAAAAAAGUUCAGCUCUCUGACGUAUGCAUUUUGAUUUAGUUUCCAUUGCCAAGAAAAGUAACUGAAGUAUUAAGUAGGAAUUGAUGUGUUAGUAAAAAAAGAAGAUGAUCAAAGAAAAACAUCAUAGUUCAACAAUUAUCUUUGUUUAAAGCGCUACAACAUAAUUAAAUCAAUUUUUUUAUCAUCAGUAACAGUACAAUGGACGUCAAACGGCUAUGGCAACCAAAAGAGCUCCUGUUAUAAAAAUAGGAACUGUUGUACAGUCCAAAGUUGUUACUCUAAUUCCAGUAUCUAAGCUCAAGAAUGAAAUAGAAUCACCUUGACAAGAUUGUUAAUAGAUACAUUCUACAAGAUCAUGAAAUACCACAGGCAGUUCCUUACCACGUCGGAUCUAAACUCUAUGUCCAACCAUCUUAGACUUUCAUGGCGCUCACUCAAUUCUAAAUCGGUAUAGAUGUGGAAUAUUGACGAAGACUAACUCAAAAAAAUUAAUGUUUAUGUUCAUGUACCUAUAUACAUAUAUGAACAAAGUUUAAAUGUUUUAGAUGAUUAUAAUACAUAUAUAUUAAGAUGGA